GCCCAGGUGGUGGAAUUGGUAGACACGCUAGAUUCAGGGUCUAGUGGUGGCAACACCGUGGAGGUUCGAGUCCUCUCCUGGGCA
rfam:Vulgatibacter incomptus strain DSM 27710, complete genome.